CAGUUUUCAAAUUUAGUACAUUGUCAAUCAAUGUCACAUCGUUCUCUUAUUUGACUCUGGAAUAAAGUAUGCGUUUUUUCAUCCAUUCAAAAUUUUCAGAAUGUUGUUUGGUUCCAUAGUUACUCGACUUCCAUAAAAUUUUCUCAGCGUAUCAGCAAUUUUGAAGGAAUUCGUAGCUUUGAGCUUGGCGAAGAUCUUCUUGUUUAAUCAUAAAGCGAUGUCAAAAUCAGAAAAUCAGCAGAAAUCGACAAAAAUAUACUUAUCAUGUUUUUCUUCUAUGAUCUUUGCAUGGAAUGUGUGAACUAUGAAAAUAGAGCUUUACGAUUCGAAGUAUGCGCGCUUAAAACGCGACCGAUUGUUCCCUACAGCUGAUCGAUGCUGCCCAUAAUUUUCUUUCGUAUAAGGGUAACGUUCACUCAGGAAUUCAUGAAUACUUCGACGCGAAUACCACGAAUGCCAACGGGUAAUUUUCAUAAAUAACUCGCGUUUCAAACUUCCUUGCGAAUUUCAAAGAUCAGCUAUCUUACGUAACUCUAACUCUUUUUUAUCAUUUUUAAGGACUUCCAAUAUUUCCAAGGUUUUCUUCGUGAAUCGAUUUAUCGGUUAAAUUUUCAUUGAAUUUCUCCAUGUUUAUGGUUCAUCGAUCCGAUUGACAUGGAUUUACUAUCGAGUUCGCCGUACAACUAUCUUGCUGGUGAAGAAAGUGUCAUUUGGCGAAGUAACGCGUAGCUAGAGAGAUAGACAUUUGCCGGAUGUUUUAAUCCGGUGCGCAAAACAGCGCGAGUUCCCUCGUCACGGUAGAAAAUCCUGCCAGUUAGGACGAACGCUGUGCCUCCAGCAAAAACUCAGCCACUUAUCUUGCUCAGAAUCACACAUAUCGGAUAAGAUCGAUCGUCUUUUUAAUUUUCUGCCGUGCAACACGUCGGUCUUCACGUUCCACGAUUGACGUACUACACGCGUAUACACGUUACGAUACACGUUCAACGCGUUUGCCGAUGUUCGUUAUACGGCUAUCAAAGGGACAUCGGAGCAAUGGUUUUCGAUCACAGAAGGAACAAAAGUUUCUUUCUACUCACCUUGCCAAAAUUGGAGAGACCACCGAUGCGUGCCACUUGACCGGGUUCAUCCGCUGUGCUGCAUUCUGCCCUAACGAACCAAUAGGAUUACAGGGAGUCGUGGUAGGCGCGGACUACCAGCAACGGGUUUCGAGGAGUCUGAGCAAUUUCGGGACCAUAAUCGUCUGUAUUAGCGCCAUGUUCUCUAAGCUGGCAAACGGAACGAUGAUACGAUGUUCGCAAUGCUAACUGACGCGAUAAUCGAUCGCCGGAGGAACGACGAGUAAACGACGAGUAAACGACGAAUGCGAUCGAUUUCGAACGGAUGGAGUUCUGAAUCCGAGGUCGGAUACUUUGCAUUUUCCUUUGAUAAUUAGCGAAUGAAAAGACGAUGGCCGGUACUUGAUCAUUUAACUGAGCUAUGCAUGUUCGGAAUAACCAGAAUUGAUACGUGAGUGGUUGAAAUUUCAAUCAUUUGCUUUCCAUGUAACUGAUUAGGAUGGUAUUUUCCAUUUGUU